rnacentral:other from 1 species
AGCGACCUGGAAUAUUUGCUAGCCAGCAUGUCCUUGAGCCGAUAAUACCCACUCGGAGGGUCUUCGAUAGUGGCAGCGUGCAUGCCCGGCAUGACCGGGAAGCCUGAGUCACUGCAGGGCCCACCACCUUGAACCUUUCGGUUCGAGGCCGCAACGGCGGCGGUAUUCUGGGGAGUUU